rnacentral:rRNA from 1 species
CGCCCUUAGAGUUUGAUCAUGGCUCAGGAUGAACGCUGGCGGCGUGCCUAAUACAUGCAAGUCGAACGCAAAGGUGCUUGCACCUUUGAGUGGCGAACGGGUGAGUAACACGUGGACAACCUGCCUCAAGGCUGGGGAUAACAUUUGGAAACAGAUGCUAAUACCGAAUAAAACUCAGUCGCAUGACCAAAGUUAAAAGGCGUUUGCGUCACCUAGAGAUGGAUCCGCGGUGCAUUAGUUAGUUGGUGGGGUAAAGGCCUACCAAGACAGUGAUGCAUAGCCGAGUUGAGAGACUGAUCGGCCACAUUGGGACUGAGACACGGCCCAAACUCCUACGGGAGGCUGCAGUAGGGAAUCUUCCACAAUGGGCGAAAGCCUGAUGGAGCAACGCCGCGUGUGUGAUGAAGGCUUUCGGGUCGU